rnacentral:rRNA from 1 species
UACGGGAGGGGCAAGCGUUGUUCGGAAUUACUGGGCGUAAAGGGCUCGUAGGCGGCCAACUAAGUCAGACGUGAAAGCCCGGGGCUCAACCCGGAACUGCCAUCGAUACUGUCAGGCUUGAGUACAGGCGAGGUUGGCGGAAUGGGCGGUGUAGCGGUGAAAUGCAUAGAUACCGUCCAGAACCCCGAUUGCGAAGGCGGCUCACUGGGGGUCUUCGACGCUGAGGAAGAAGCCAGGG